GGAGGAUCCGAGCGUUAUCCGGAUUUAUUGGGUUUAAAGGGAGCGUAGGCGGGUUGUUAAGUCAGUUGUGAAAGUUUGCGGCUCAACCGUAAAAUUGCAGUUGAUACUGGCGACCUUGAGUGCAACAGAGGUAGGCGGAAUUCGUGGUGUAGCGGUGAAAUGCUUAGAUAUCACGAAGAACUCCGAUUGCGAAGGCAGCUUACUGGAUUGUAACUGACGCUGAUGCUCGAAAGUGUGGGUAUCAAACAGGAUUAGAUACCCUGGUAGUCCACACGGUAAACGAUGAAUACUCGCUGUAGGCGAUAUACGGUCUGCGGCCAAGCGAAAGCAUUAAGCAUCCCACCUGGGGAGU
rnacentral:rRNA from 1 species